rnacentral:rRNA from 1 species
AUGGAGAACCCCAGCUUAAAUCUGCACACUUCUAAGCUCCCAGUCAACAUUGGUGUCCCAUAUAGCCCAAACAAGAAGAUUGGCAAGAAAGUUGCGGUUGAUACCGCUGGCAGCACGCCCCGCCCUACUAAUAAGCCUGAUGAUACUGCAGCAGAUGAGGCAGAAAUGUUUGUUGAUCUGUCAUCCAUGGAUUCUGUGGAGCAACUUCCUCGCGAUCCGGCUGGUAGGGAGGAGAGGCACCCAAUGGCCUUCACCCCACCGAGCUGUAGCCUUGGCAUCGAUCGCAGUCAAGAUGAACCAGUGGUGCAAGAUCCUAUGUCAGUUGCCUUUGCUUUCCCGGCAGGCAUGGCCCCAAUGAUGGCGCAACCAAUGGCUGAUGGCAGGAAGCUAGGCUGUGAAGUUUGUAGAGCCGAUAGUGCAAGCACCCCUGAGGAGAUUACACCGUCACUUGAUGAAGCUUACCGCAGGAUUGAGGAGGCAGCAUUGCAGAGGAGGUCCUUACGAGGUCAGGGGCAAUCAAGUUCUAACGUGCCUGCUGAGUCGGUAUCUGAGGAUACCGUUAGAAGUUCCACCCCUGGUUCUGUGAGGCAGCAUAGGGUAGUUCACGCACCGCCCGCGGAUGAUUAUGAGCCCGAAGUCAAGGCCACAAAGGAGCAGAACCAGAUGUACGAUAUUGUCAACCGUUUUGGAAAUGCGAGGUCCAACAGCAAGCACAUGAAGGAGCUGAAAGCAACCAAGAUUAUAUGA